UACGUAGGGGGCGGAGCGUUGUCCGGAAUUAUUGGGCGUUAAAGGGGCUCGAUAGGCGGUCUGUCACGUCGGGAGUGAAACUCGGGGCUUAACUCCGAGCCUGCUUCUGAUACGGGCAGACUAGAGGUAUGCAGGGGAGAAUGGAAUUCCUGGUGUAGCGGUGAAAUGCGCAGAUAUCAGGAGGAACACCGGUGGCGAAGGCGGUUCUCUGGGCAUGACCUGACGCUGAGGAGCGAAAGUGUGGGGAGCGAACAGG
rnacentral:rRNA from 1 species